AUAACGGUCCUAAGGUAGCGAAAUUCCUUGUCGGGUAAGUUCCGACCUGCACGAAUGGCGUAAUGAUGGCCAGGCUGUCUCCACCCGGGACUCAGUGAAAUUGAACUCGCUGUGAAGAUGCAGUGUACCCGCGGCAAGACGGAAAGACCCCGUGAACCUUUACUAUAGCUUGACACUGAACACUGGUCCUUGAUGUGCAGGAUAGGUGGGAGGCUUUGAAGUGUGGACGCCAGUCUGCAUGGAGCCAUCCUUGAAAUACCACCCUUUAAUGGCUGGUGUUCUAACGUGGGCCCGUGAACCGGGUUGCGGACAGUGUCUGGUGGGUAGUUUGACUGGGGCGGUCUCCUCCUAAAGAGUAACGGAGGAGCACGAAGGUUGGCUAAUCCUGGUCGGACAUCAGGAGGUUAGUGCAAUGGCAUAAGCCAGCUUGACUGCGAGCGUGACGGCGCGAGCAGGUGCGAAAGCAGGUCAUAGUGAUCCGGUGGUUCUGAAUGGAAGGGCCAUCGCUCAACGGAUAAAAGGUACUCCGGGGAUAACAGGCUGAUACCGCCCAAGAGUUCAUAUCGACGGCGGUGUUUGGCACCUCGAUGUCGGCUCAUCACAUCCUGGGGCUGAAGUAGGUCCCAAGGGUAUGGCUGUUCGCCAUUUAAAGUGGUACGCGAGCUGGGUUUAGAACGUCGUGAGACAGUUCGGUCCCUAUCUGCCGUGGGCGC
rnacentral:rRNA from 1 species